UGCCCCAUUACAACCUCAGCAUGGUUUCUUGGUCUCCAACCAUGGCAGAAAGGACAGGAAUGAGGAAGCCUCAGCGACCACGGUGGGGCAGACUGUAUUAGAUGAGACGGGGCUUUCCAACAGGAACAAGGAUGAAAAGAAGACGCUGAGGAUGAAGACCAGGUCUGCCCUCGCCUGGACACCACCUUAACCCUCCCAGAUCCUCAAGGAGCUCUGGCCCUGGUGUCUUAUAAAUAUGGAAAGUUCCAUUGGACAGAGAACGACUGGGCAGUGUGGCCUGCUGAGGAGAGAGAGCUGAUCCAACAGACACUUGAUCUGACCGGAGCAAGUCCUGUAGAGCCCACACUGGAGAGACUUUGGCGAUCACCCAGCCACCACCCUGGCUGUGCCUAGACGCACCUGGGAGCUUAAAAGAAAAUAAUCAUGUAGAACUCUUUCUGAAGUUCUUUGAGAAAGAACAGCUAAAUGUCACCCAUGACCACAGACCUCCCUGGGGCCUCAAAGUCAG